CUAUAUAUACACCUACACACGGUUCUUUAAUAUGCUAAUUUUACUAGCCAAUUUCCCUAGCUCCUCCUGUCAACCAGAUUUCAGUUUGAAGGAACUUCUUUUUCCACUGCAAGCAGAGUAUGAACCUUUACAAGAAGGGAACCAUGAAGAGGAGCUUGGAGUGGGCAAGGGGGAAGAUAACGCAGCAGAGAAGACCAGAUUCAUCAAGUGUCACAGUUAAUUCUGGUGAUUCUCACUUGGUUGGUAUGCACAACACGGCAAGACACUUCCAUCCGACACUCUUGUAAAUGUUUGACGUCAGGCAAACGUCUUCAGCCACCGUAGGAUGGAGAGCCGCUGGUUGGCAUUUUUGACUGUAGUGUCUGUGUGGGUGUACCAGGAAAGGACGAUUGAAGUUAUGUCCCCAUGAUAUCGAAGCUUCCCACUGCAGCCCAGUCGAUAUCGAUUUUAAAAACUGGAACAAUAGAUAUCAUGUAGCAAAAAUUCACUGGACCAACUCCAGUUUGCCUAUUGUCCCAACAAAUGUCAAUUCUACAUUUUACAUAAAUCAGAGGGCGUUUUCUUUUAUAGCUCUGCUUUCAACACCAUCCUGACUCACAAACUGGUUAGCAGACUCAGGUCUCUGUAAUAACCCUGUAAUAACAAAUUAGAUCUUUUACAUGAUCACAAGAACGUGUAUCCCCAGAAUGGACCCAACACCUAAACAUGCUGACGACACUACCGUGAUACACCUGAUCACCAGUGAUCAUGAGUACAUGAAGGAGCUGUGGGACCUGUCAUAAUUGUGAUAGGACAACAGUCUCAGCGUAAGCAAAAUGAAGUAGAUGGUGAGACUUAAUGACCAUUCUCCCAUCUACUGUACAUUGACAUGGAGAUGAUCAACAGCUUCAAGUUCCUGGGCACCCUGAUAUCCCUUUCUGCCCUCAGUCACUUCACUCAUAAAGUCCCACCAGUGCUUCUCCACUACCCUCAUCAACUUGCUGCACCAUGACCUAUGUACCAACUACAGUGUAUAUUUUUAUUGCCAUAACACAUGUAAAUGGAAUGCCCAUAUUUACUGUAAUAUUUAUGGUAACAUUGCACGUAUUGUAAUAUACUCCCUUGACAUACAUGACUUAACUACUGUUCAUAAUGCUCAGUUUACCCACUAAGAAAUCAUACAUUUAUUAAAAUAUUAAAGCUGCAUUAUGUAUUACUGUGUC